CUGGGGUGGAAGCGGCUAACGUUGACACAGGCUGCGUCGCAGCCUCGCCUCGGGGGCCGGAAGCGCCCGCCACGUCCUCCUUCCCUUCUCGAGGACGCUUCCCAGACGGGUCCCCACAGCAGACGACAGUGCCCGGAGGGGAGCCCGCGGCUCCUCGGCACGCGCCCCUCCUCCGCGCGGGGUUCUCACGCACAGCCUCUCCUGCCAUCAUCACAUCUGUUUUCACGACGGGACUGCUAUUUACUUGUCACCGUCUUCCUCCCCUGGAGUAGAACCACCACCUUCGGGAGGAACAUGUCUGCCUGCUGACCAGGGAGCAGACACUCGGUACAGGUCUGCUGGGCAAAUAAACGAAUCCCCUUGAACCUGUAUGAAGAAAGACCAUGAGGGCAUAACAACUUCUAAGACUCCUCGGAGGGCACUACAAGUAUCCCACUCCUGACCUGUGGACUGGGUAGCAGGAAGGUAAGGAUUGGGGGGGGGGGCGAGGGUGUGUGUGUGAGAGAGACAGUGUGUGAGUGUGUGACUGUGUGAGAGGUGUGUGAGGAGUAUGGGUAGGUGUUGAAGGACGUGAGGGUGUGUGAGAGAGCGCGUGUGUGAGAGAGCGCGUGUGUGAGAGACGGAGUGUGUGAGAGGAGGCAUGGGAGAGGUGGGAGACAACACACGCCAAGAGAUGAAGAGGGCCCGCCUGCGUGAUACGGGCACUGCUGUUUUCAGGCAAACGCAAAUUCUGAAGGAUCUCACUUGGAAGCCCACGCUGAGUUCAGGCAGUGUGAUGAGUGUUGUGCACAACCUGGGAAAGGGAAGGGACGCAGGUGCCCACAGGAGUCUGCCUGCUCAAGCAGCCGGGGACCUCAGCGCCUCCUUGCAAAGCUGGCCUCUCAGAGCCCAGCGUGGCUCGGGCCAGAGAAGAGGGCUGGCUGCCAUUUAUUCGCCACCCAAACAACCAAGAGAGAAAAGCAGGUAACUAGAUUUCUUUCCCUCUGGAUUUUGAUUUUAGCAGAAAGAGACAGACUACAAACGACCGAACAAUGAUCUGGCAUUGAUUCACAGAGACAACUGGGUCACCUGGGCCUUCGUAGUCUCCAGGUACAGCAUCCCUUCCUGUCGGGGCCACCACAUGGGGUUCAAGGACACCUAUGGUACCUAGUCCUCUACUUAGAGCACCAAAAGGAUGCCAGGUGUCAAGUACAUGCGUGGUGUUCUAAUUCUUUAACCUGAGUUGCUCUGUGGCUGAUCCACCUACAUGGUGACAUCAGAGCAAGUAGUGAGCUCCCCCAGCACUGGACCGGCUGGGUUCAAGUCAACGUUCUUCAUUCCCCAGGGCACAUUCAACACAACUGUACUCGCUCCACCACUGUGCACACUCAGCGCCUGCCCUGGGCAAGAGGCUCUCUGACCCGGUGAAUAUGUUUGGCUAGAAAUGCCCUAAAGUUAACUUUGUAAAAGGGGGAGAAAGAUAUUCAUGGUAGGAAAAUAAAAUUCACGGUUUUGUUUCUUUCAAAAAAAUAAAGUCUUCUUACCUAAUGACAAGUACUACAAAA